AACGCGAAGAACCUUACCUGGGCUCGAACGGCUAGUCAACGAUCGUGGAAACACGGUUACUCCGCAAGGGGGUCUAGUCGAGGUGCUGCAUGGCUGUCGUCAGCUCGUGUCGUGAGAUGUUGGGUUAAGUCCCGCAACGAGCGCAACCCUUGUCCUGUGUUGCCAUGCCGAAAGGCGGAACUCGCAGGAGACCGCCAGCGAUAAGCUGGAGGAAGGUGGGGAUGACGUCAAGUCCUCAUGGCCUUUAUGUCCAGGGCUACACACGUGCUACAAUGGCCGGUACAAUGCGCCGCUAAGUCGCAAGACGGAGCCAAUCGCAAAAAACCGGUCUCAGUUCGGAUUGCAGGCUGCAACUCGCCUGCAUGAAGCUGGAAUCGCUAGUAAUGGCAGAUCAGAACGCUGCCGUGAAUACGUUCCCGGGCCUUGUA
rnacentral:rRNA from 1 species